AUGCAAGCUACAAAACCACGGCUUUCCUCCAUCGACCAGAAGCUGCAGCGUCCUUUCGAGUCCCAUCCUCCUCCUUUGGCCAUGGGGUCGCUGCCGCUCCUCCCUCUCCUGGCCGUCGUCCUACUCCUCUGGCUCCACCGUCGGCGCCAGCGCCGGCUCCGUGCGCCCGCACUCCGCCUGCCCCCGUCGCCGUGGCCGCUCCCGCUGCUCGGCCACCUCCUCCACCUAGCGCGGGACCUGCCGCACCGCGCCCUGCGCGACCUGGCACAGCGCCACGGCCCGCUCCUGCUUCUCCGCCUCGGCGGCCUGCCCGUUGUCGUCGCCUCCUCCGCCGACGCCGCGCGCGAGCUCAUGGUCUCCCACGACGUCGACUUCGCCUCCCGCUACCUCAGCCGCAUGGCCCACCUCUCCAUCCAGCCGGGCGCCGAGGGCAUCUUCUUCGCGCCCUACGGCGCCCAGUGGCGCCAGCUCCGCAAGAUCUGCACCGUCGAGCUCCUCAGCGCCCGACGCGUGCUCUCCUUCCGCCCCACGCGCCAGGAGGAGGCCGCCCGGCUGCUCCGGGCGGUGGCGGCGUCGCGGGCCAUGGUUAACCUCAGCGGGUUGCUGGCAGCUUACGCCGCCGACUCGUCCGUGCGCACCAUCAUCGGGAGCAGAUUCAAGGACCGCGACGGCUUCCUGGAGUUGGUGUCAACCGGUAGCAAGCUGUUCGCCGGGAUGAGCUUACCGGACCUCUACCCGUCAUCACGCCUCGCCAUGCUCCUUAGCCGGACGCCGCCCCGGGUGAGGCAGCACCGCAAGGAACUAGACGAGUUCAUGGACACCGUCGUCCGGGAGCACCAGGAGAACCGCCGGGCAGACGACGACGAUGACGAGGACCUGCUUGACGUGCUCCUGAGGAUCCAGCGGAAAGGCGACCUGCAGUUCCCCUUGUCGACCGAAAUGAUCAAGUCGGUCGUACAGGACAUAUUCGCCGGUGGCAGCGAGACAGCGGCGACGACACUGCAAUGGGCCAUGUCCGAGCUGGUGAGGAGCCCUAGAGUGAUGCGGAAGGUGCAGGACGAGGCCCAGCUGGCGCUCGCCGGCCAGACCACGGUGACCGAGUCCUCCCUCGCCGACCUCAAGUACAUGCGCCUAGUGGUCAAGGAGGUGCUCCGCCUGCACCCGCCGGCGCCGCUGCUGCUGCCGCGGGAGUGCCGGAGCGACGGUUGCCAAGUCCUUGGCUACGACGUGCCCAAGGGCACCAUGGUGCUCGUCAAUGCGUGGGCCAUUUGCAGGGACCCCACGCACUGGGACGCCGCCGAGGAGUUUAUGCCAGAGAGGUUCGAGCGCGGUGACGCCGCGGACUUCAAGGGGGCUGACAUGGAGUACACGCCGUUCGGGGCGGGCCGGCGGAUGUGCCCCGGGAUGUCCUUCGGGCUGGCAAACGUGGAGCUCGCUCUCGCCGGGCUGCUGUACCACUUCGACUGGGAGCUGCCGGGCGGAGCGGAGGCCGGGGAGCUGGACAUGGCGGAGGAGAUGGGCGUCACCGUGCGCCGCCGCAACGACCUCGUGCUUGUCCCCGUGGUGCGAGUGCCCGUGCCGCUAAAUUAG
rnacentral:rRNA from 1 species